rnacentral:rRNA from 1 species
GAUCAGUGGCGAACGGGUGAGUAACACGUGAGCAACCUGCCCUGGACUCUGGGAUAAGCGCUGGAAACGGCGUCUAAUACUGGAUAUGAGACGUGAUCGCAUGGUCGUGUUUGGAAAGAUUUUUCGGUCUGGGAUGGGCUCGCGGCCUAUCAGCUUGUUGGUGAGGUAAUGGCUCACCAAGGCGUCGACGGGUAGCCGGCCUGAGAGGGUGACCGGCCACACUGGGACUGAGACACGGCCCAGACUCCUACGGGAGGCAGCAGUGGGGAAUAUUGCACAAUGGGCGGAAGCCUGAUGCAGCAACGCCGCGUGAGGGAUGACGGCCUUCGGGUUGUAAACCUCUUUUAGCAGGGAAGAAGCGAAAGUGACGGUACCUGCAGAAAAAGCGCCGGCUAACUACGUGCCAGCAGCCGCGGUAAUACGUAGGGCGCAAGCGUUAUCCGGAAUUAUUGGGCGUAAAGAGCUCGUAGGCGGUUUGUCGCGUCUGCUGUGAAAUCCCGAGGCUCAACCUCGGGCCUGCAGUGGGUACGGGCAGACUAGAGUGCGGUAGGGGAGAUUGGAAUUCCUGGUGUAGCGGUGGAAUGCGCAGAUAUCAGGAGGAACACCGAUGGCGAAGGCAGAUCUCUGGGCCGUAACUGACGCUGAGGAGCGAAAGGGUGGGGAGCAAACAGGCUUAGAUACCCUGGUAGUCCACCCCGUAAACGUUGGGAACUAGUUGUGGGGACCAUUCCACGGUUUCCGUGACGCAGCUAACGCAUUAAGUUCCCCGCCUGGGGAGUACGGCCGCAAGGCUAAAACUCAAAGGAAUUGACGGGGACCCGCACAAGCGGCGGAGCAUGCGGAUUAAUUCGAUGCAACGCGAAGAACCUUACCAAGGCUUGACAUAUACGAGAACGGGCCAGAAAUGGUCAACUCUUUGGACACUCGUAAACAGGUGGUGCAUGGUUGUCGUCAGCUCGUGUCGUGAGAUGUUGGGUUAAGUCCCGCAACGAGCGCAACCCUCGUUCUAUGUUGCCAGCACGUAAUGGUGGGAACUCAUGGGAUACUGCCGGGGUCAACUCGGAGGAAGGUGGGGAUGACGUCAAAUCAUCAUGCCCCUUAUGUCUUGGGCUUCACGCAUGCUACAAUGGCCGGUACAAAGGGCUGCAAUACCGUGAGGUGGAGCGAAUCCCAAAAAGCCGGUCCCAGUUCGGAUUGAGGUCUGCAACUCGACCUCAUGAAGUCGGAGUCGCUAGUAAUCGCAGAUCAGCAACGCUGCGGUGAAUACGUUCCCGGGUCUUGUACACACCGCCCGUCAAGUCAUGAAAGUC